UCUUCUUUCUUUCUCUCUCAAACUUCCCUAAGGCCCCGAGGCCCAACCCAUGUGGUUCUUAAGUGUUAGUAGCGAAGCUCUGUAGUAUAAGAGUUCCCCGAGAAAUAGAGCAUUUAGUUUUGAAGUUUUGCCCGCGUAAUCCCCUGUUUUCGUCAAACAACCUUUUCGCUUGGGGUAGUUAUCUAAUGAGAUUUUACGUAUGAUGACAUUGAGGAUACAUGGAACAAGAUAAAUAAAUAUUUAUCACUUCCUAAGCGUCGUCAAAUUUUAAAAUACUCCUUCUCAGUAUUUACGGCUCCAAUUAGGAUAUGGAUAUAUGAGAUGUUUCCGGCUGUUCGUGCAUGUGGAUUUGUAUUGAGAAAAAAUAGAGACAUGCCUCUCAUGAAACGAUGGAAUGAGACAAAAAAAUUGAAAUGGGUUGAUGUGAACAAGAUUUUUUCAAAAAUACAGGAGGGACAACCACCAAGACAAAACAUGUUACCGAGUGAUGGUGAGAUGACAUCUUGUUAUUAUAUGUCAUUUCAAGAGUAUAUAUAUGGUGGACAGAAAUCAGUUCCAUCCCCAGUACGAGACCAUUUUAGGAGACAAGACGAAUCUUCGUCUAGUAUGUCGUAUAGUGGUCGCUCUCAUGGUAGAGGUAAGGGAAGUGGGAAACACAACCUAGAGGAGGUGUUGAAACGGCUACAUGCACUGGAACAUCAUAUGUUUACGAACUGAGAACCUAGAGAGGUUUUUGUUGAAGAAGUGAAUAAUAAAGAUUUAUGGAAUAACAUCAGUUUUGAGGAGCCUGCAGUAUUCCAAACAAAAUUUGAUGAACGGUUGUACAAGAUGAACUGAUGAAUAAAAAUAAUACAACUGAAAAUAUUUUUGGUGAUAUUGAAGACGACAAGGAGUUGGAGGAGAGGAAUGACAAUGCAGGGAACAAAUUUGAUGAUGAUGUGCUUGAUGUAAAUAAUUAUAAUGAAGCUAAAGAGGUGUCGGAGGAAGAUGAAGUAAUAAUUACGGGAAAUGUAGAUUAUUAUGAUACUUAUGGUUUUGAUGGCAAAGAAGUUACACCCGAUAAACCGAGGACUCGAAAACCGUCACAGUAUUUGUGCCCUCCUUAAACCGAGUUGCACACGACACCGAAGCAAAAAAAGAAGAGAAAAAAAGAAGGUUGAUAUCAAAUCAACAAGCCACGUUCCUCCUCUAGCUUUUGCUGUUGUUCACGACUUCUCCGUGUUGCGCCUACAACCUUACGUAGCAGGCGGUGAGGUUGUCAUCCACAAUUAUUUAUUUCAUUCAUAUGAUGUCCAGCAUGGUUUGUUUAACUUCGUGUUAGAUAGAGAUUUUUGGAGCGCCUUGUUUGGACAUACCCACGACGGAUGGUUGGAGUCAUCGCAUAUGACCAUUUGGUAUAGACUAUUAAUGGCGACCAACAUACAAUAAUGCCUCCAAAUUUUUUUGUUUGCCAUGCUUUGGAAGAAGGGCAGGAUUGGAGGGCGUUUAUGGCUGGUAUUGCUACGUACCCCAACUUCAUGGUUGCUUGGUGGGAUGUCGAUAUGGUCCUAUUGUCGAUUCAUUCAUACCCUAAUCACUGGUUAUUUGUGGAACUACGAUUGGCGUCAAUGGAAGUCCAUAUUUAUGACAGUCUCGGUAGAGUGGCUUAUGAAAAAUUCAAAUCUGAUGGAACCUUUACCAAAUUUGAAUCUCGGGUGGCAAAUUAUUUAAACAAGAUUAACUAUUAGGCCCGGAAGAACAUCCCAAGGAUUCCAUUGAAUAUGCAAUUCAUUUAUGAAAAAAAUGUUCCCCAACAAAGUAGUCAUUUGGGAGAUUCCGGUGUUUUUGUUUGUAUGUUUAUGGAACAAUUAGUUUCAGGUCAACCAAUACGUGAACUUAUUGACCCAAGGAACGCAACUUUAGAGUUUCGCCAACGGGUGGCAAAAAUUUAUUGGAGGUCGAGUCGUGCGACGUGCUCCACUACCGGACACCCUUCCAGUACAAUUGUUUCUCGUGUGUCCUACUUGACCACAUGUAUAACACUCUUUUCUAAUUGGACCCUCACCUUAGGAUGAAAUGCAGUAUGUGUUUCUUGGCCUGUCCGGCUGACGUUUAUCCAUUAUAGGUGGCUUAACAAUCAUCAAAGCAUCGGGGAUCUCCCAUUCGAAUGGCUUUGGCAGAGGGUUUAUUGAUUCCUCAUAUGUUUUCCUCAGUGUUUCGGUAAAGUAAGCAUUUAAUGCAUACCUCGAGCAGUCUUGGUAAUUAUUGACUGUUAAACAUCUUAUGACAUGACCACAAGGUAUCCCAUCAAGUUGCCAAUGCCUACAUGUACAUGUCAUUUGUUGGAAAUCAACUAUCACGUUUUUUGCCCCCUUUUUGACCUCGUAUUUCAUAUUUGAGAUCAUACGAACAUCCCACUUACUAAAUGUUUUUUUGUUUUCUUUAACAAUUUUAUCGGCCCAAGGGGUAAGUGUUGUUGUUGCUUCCGUUUAAAAAAGACACAAAAUAAAGAAGUUAGAUCAAUAAGAUUUAUUAAAACAUUAAUAUUAAAAAUUAAAAAUUAACUUAAUACCUGCAAAGUUACGUCUUUAAAACCACCACUGUUGUAUUGUUGCACGAAAAAUAUCGAUCAACAUAAGUAUCGGCACCUUACGUGCGUGUCUAGAUAAUGCAUUUAUAGACUCCGCACUAUUAGACGACAUAAGAUUGUAUCAGUUCCCUCUAAAAUGUGCCCUAGACCAACUUUUUGGAUUUAUACUUCUUAAGUACUCCCAUACUGGUUGUUUUUUCUUUCUCAUAAUUUUCAUGGCAGCGUCAAAAGCAUCAACUGUGUAUGUCCUACAAGCCUCCCAAAAAAUUCAUUUAACUGUGUUACUCUUCCCGAAUCUAGAUAGUGUGUUGAAAUACAAAUGGACACCACAUGUUCCGUGAUGAGCGUGAGGAAAAAUGUUGGCACGGAUAUUGCUAUAGAUGGAGACCUAUCAGAUAUAAUUGUAAGUUCCUGCAUAUUGCAUAUGCAAUCACGUAGUUUUUGAAAAAACCAUGUCCAAGAAUCUGUACACUCAUUUUUGAAGAUACCAUAUGCAAUCGGUAAUAUUUGGUUUUGUCCGUCCUUAGUAACUGCAAGUAACAUGGUUCCUUUGACCUCGCCCUUUAGGUGGGCUCCAUCUACUACAAGGUUCAGUUUACAAAAAUUGACAAAAGCGCGUACCUACAAUACAUUGUAUAUCUAUUCAAAUACAACAAAAAAUGGAAAAAUAAUAAAAUAUUAAAAUACUAACC